UUAAAUUGCUGUGGUAUUUUGACUAUACAAAGGUAUUGAAAUAAGAUUUUAAUUGAAUGCUAAGAGAAUGGAAUUUCAGAAAAAAACUUUUUUCAAGUUAAAAAUUGAAAUUUUUUUAAUUUGUGCAGAAACAAUUAUUAAUAUUAAGGACAAGAAGACCCUAUGAAUUUAUAAAUUUUAUUUAAUAUGUAACUACUAUUGAAAAAAUUUUAGCUGGGGCGGCGGAAAAAUAUUUAAAACUUUUUUAAAAUAAAAUGACCCAUUAUUAAUGAUUAUAUGUUAAAUACUCUAGGGAA
rnacentral:rRNA from 1 species